rnacentral:rRNA from 1 species
UGGGGAAUAUUGCACAAUGGGGGGAACCCUGAUGCAGCGACGCCGCGUGAGUGAAGAAGUAUUUCGGUAUGUAAAGCUCUAUCAGCAGGGAAGAAAAUGACGGUACCUGACUAAGAAGCCCCGGCUAACUACGUGCC